GAGAAAGGGUCAGAAAAACUCUGCAGAGACAACAUUGCUACUGUUCAAGUCUCUCUCAGUCAGGUGUAAGCUAUAUUUCAAUAACUUCAUGAUAAAGAUGAACUGCUGCGGCUCCAUGAUAUUCGACCAUAACAACGAGACGCUCUCCAUCUCCCAAUCUGCCAAAAUCCACAAUGAUAAAGAUCCACAAGCUGCAGGAUCCAGAGAGGAUGUGCAGCGAAGCUCAGGAGGAGGAAGAAGAGG